rnacentral:tRNA from 1 species
GCGCCUGUAGCUCAAUGGUGGAGCAUCAAUCUUAUACAUUGGGGGUUCCUGGUUCAAGUCCAGGCGGGCGCA